GAAGUUGGUCGGAUGGUCGCUGGAAGGUUUACCUUUCAGAGGAAAGUCCGGGCUCCACAGAGCAAAGUGCUAGCUAACAGCUAGGUAUGGUGACAUAACGGAAAGUGCUGCAGAGAUUUAAACCGCCUAUUUCGAUAGGUAAGGGUGAGAAGG
rnacentral:RNase_P_RNA from 1 species